GCAGGGAAUCCAUUUGCUCAUCACUAAUUAUAAUUAUUGUGCACUGAGUAACCAUAAAUUCCCAUUCUAUUAUAGAAAAAGGAAGGAAAACCCAUCUAAAAAGUCAACAUACACCAAUACAACAAUACAGAGCUCCUUCAAAUGAGGAGGAGAGCGAAGAGAGAAUACAAAUCCCCUGCUCGCAAAAAACUGUGUACUCCAUACCAGCAAUGAGGAGAGGGAGGAUGAAGGAAAUAGUGAAGUUGCUGAACAAGAACAUUUCAGUGAAGAAGAAGAGUCUGUGCAGGAAGAUGGCCCAUGUGACCAGGUCAAGGACAACAAAGAUGAUAAACCUGCAAUUGACCCAUAUUCUAUACCCUUAGUUCUGCUGUUGGAUUUAUCUGGCAGUGGGCUAUGGUAUGUGUCCUUUAUACCAAGCAGCUUAUCUGCCCAUGCAUGGGCAUCCCCGACAGGCCUCCCAGACUGAUACCUGGCCUAAAAUUGGGCAGAUCUCAAUUG